AUUGAACGCUGGCGGCAUGCCUUACACAUGCAAGUCGAACGGCAGCACGGGUGCUUGCACCUGGUGGCGAGUGGCGAACGGGUGAGUAAUACAUCGGAACAUGUCCUGUAGUGGGGGAUAGCCCGGCGAAAGCCGGAUUAAUACCGCAUACGAUCCACGGAUGAAAGCGGGGGACCUUCGGGCCUCGCGCUAUAGGGUUGGCCGAUGGCUGAUUAGCUAGUUGGUGGGGUAAAGGCCUACCAAGGCGACGAUCAGUAGCUGGUCUGAGAGGACGACCAGCCACACUGGGACUGAGACACGGCCCAGACUCCUACGGGAGGCAGCAGUGGGGAAUUUUAGACAAUGGGCGAAAGCCUGAUCCAGCAAUGCCGCGUGUGUGAAGAAGGCCUUCGGGUUGUAAAGCACUUUUGUCCGGAAAGAAAUCCUUGACUCUAAUACAGUCGGGGGAUGACGGUACCGGAAGAAUAAGCACCGGCUAACUACGUG
rnacentral:rRNA from 1 species